AGCUCCAAUAGCGUAUAUUAAAGUUGCUGCAGUUAAAAAGCUCGUAGUUGCAUUUCCGAGGCAAGGGAUUAGUCCGACCUUUGGUGGGUAUUUAAUCCUCUUGCCUCGUCCUUGAGUGGUGCUUCUUGGUAUUAAGUUAUCGAGGAGAUAGCCGCUCAUCGUUUACUGUGAGAAAAUUAGAGUGUUCAAAGCAGGCUUAUGCCGUUGAAUAUAUUAGCAUGGAAUAAUAAGAUAGGACCUCGGUACUAUUUUGUGGGUUUGAGAACCAAGGUAAUGAUGAAUAGGGACAGUUGGGGGUAUUCGUAUUCAGUUGUCAGAGGUGAAAUUCUUAGAUUUACGGAAGACGAACUACUGCGAAAGCAUUUGCCAAGGAUGUUUUCA
rnacentral:rRNA from 1 species